rnacentral:rRNA from 1 species
UACGGAGGGGGCUAGCGUUGUUCGGAAUUACUGGGCGUAAAGCGCACGUAGGCGGCUUUGCAAGUCAGAGGUGAAAGCCCGGGGCUCAACCCCGGAAUUGCCUUUGAGACUGCAUCGCUAGAACGGCGGAGAGGUGAGUGGAAUUCCGAGUGUAGAGGUGAAAUUCGUAGAUAUUCGGAAGAACACCAGUGGCGAAGGCGACUCACUGGACGACUGUUGACGCUGAGGUGCGAAAGCGUGGGGAGCAAACAGG